UACGAAGGGGGCUAGCGUUGCUCGGAAUUACUGGGCGUAAAGCGCACGUAGGCGGAUUGUUAAGUCGGGGGUGAAAUCCUGGAGCUCAACUCCAGAACUGCCUUCGAAACUGGCGAUCUUGAGUCCGGGAGAGGUGAGUGGAACUGCGAGUGUAGAGGUGAAAUUCGUAGAUAUUCGCAAGAACACCAGUGGCGAAAGCGGGGCACUGGGCCAAAUCUGACGCUGAGGCGCGAAAGCGUGGGGAGCAAACAGG
rnacentral:rRNA from 1 species